GAUGAACGCUGGCGGCGUGCCUAAUACAUGCAAGUCGAGCGAGCGGACGAGAAGCUUGCUUCUUUGAUGUUAGCGGCGGACGGGUGGGUAACACGUGGAUAACCUACCUAUAAGACUGGGAUAACUUCGGGAAACCGGAGCUAAUACCGGAUAAUAUUUUGAACCGCAUGGUUCAAAAGUGAAAGACGGUCUUGCUGUCACUUAUAGAUGGAUCCGCGCUGCAUUAGCUAGUUGGUAAGGUAACGGCUUACCAAGGCAACGAUGCAUAGCCGACCUGAGAGGGUGAUCGGCCACACUGGAACUGAGACACGGUCCAGACUCCUACGGGAGGCAGCAGUAGGGAAUCUUCCGCAAUGGGCGAAAGCCUGACGGAGCAACGCCGCGUGAGUGAUGAAGGUCUUCGGAUCGUAAAACUCUGUUAUUAGGGAAGAACAUAUGUGUAAGUAACUGUGCACAUCUUGACGGUACCUAAUCAGAAAGCCACGGCUAACUACGUG
rnacentral:rRNA from 1 species